rnacentral:miRNA from 1 species
CAGUGGUAGAGCAUAUGAC